CUUUAUUUAUGUCUCUCUCGCUCAGUUCUCUCUAGUCUUCUCCGUCACCACUCUCUCUUCUAACCUCCGCUGCUGUAGGCAGCGACACUGGUCGGCGGCACCAAAUCGCUGGAGAAGAAGGUAUGCGAUUUGGUCUGAUUUGCGAUUUGAUAGAGGGGGUGAAGAACGACCGUCGAGUCGCCGGCGGCAGACUGGGGAAGAGAUUAAGUGAGAAGAAUAAUGUUUCCCACACUUAAUUAACUCUUUAAUUUUGGUGGACCACACAUAAUUAAAACAUAACAAUCCUCUUCUUAAUCUCUGUGUCAAAAAGAAAAUGGCCACAUUUAUUGGGACGAAGUGAUUAAAUUUCUACGUUGGGUUGAAUGUCAUAUAUCAUAAGUUUCAGAAUUUUAGCCUUUCGAAACUAAUCUUUAUUAUUUUAUAACGAAUAUGAACUUCGAAUUGUAGAGUUGUUAGCAAUAACAAAGAAUUGUUUUAAGUCUA